AUUGAACGCUGGCGGCAUGCUUUACACAUGCAAGUCGAACGGCAGCAUAGGUGCUUGCACCUGAUGGCGAGUGGCGAACGGGUGAGUAAUAUAUCGGAACAUGUCCGGAAGUGGGGGAUAACGUAGCGAAAGUUACGCUAAUACCGCAUAUGCCCUGAGGGGGAAAGGGGGGGAUCGCAAGACCUCUCGCUUUCGGAGUGGCCGAUAUCGGAUUAGCUAGUAGGUGAGGUAAAGGCUCACCUAGGCGACGAUCCGUAGCUGGUCUGAGAGGACGACCAGCCACACUGGGACUGAGACACGGCCCAGACUCCUACGGGAGGCAGCAGUGGGGAAUUUUGGACAAUGGGCGCAAGCCUGAUCCAGCCAUGCCGCGUGAGUGAAGAAGGCCUUCGGGUUGUAAAGCUCUUUCAGCUGGAAAGAAAUCGUACUUAUUAAUACUAGGUGCGGAUGACGGUACCAGCAGAAGAAGCACCGGCUAACUACGUGCCAGCCGCCGCGGUAAAAC
rnacentral:rRNA from 1 species